CAGCCACGGUUCGUUUGUGAAGUGUGUGUAAAGCGAAUAACAUCGGAAAGCUUUAUACGAAAAUCUAAAAAAAGCGCAAAAAAUAAAAAACGAAAUGGCAAAGCGCCAACGAACAAAUGUGCGAGUGUUAGGAAGGAAACAAUUUUAUUUUUGUCAGUCAUGGUUUUACAUCACUGUGACCCCUCUAAGUUGAGAAGAAAAUUGUACGGUGAAGGAAAAGUCGGAGACUUCAUAGUAUAAAAUAUAUACGAAAACGGUCUUCACUUGUCAAUACAUUACACAAGUAUCCAAGAGCAAUGAAACUUGGAGCGUCAAACUUUGCAAAAAGCGGAAAAACUUUUAAGUAACAUAAGGAGCCAGUAAGCCAAACUGACGCUGUUGGCAAGCAAUUGAAAACUCUACAGACUCCCUCUUAACAUAAGCUUAGCAAGCAGUAUAACAAAACAAAAGAGAGCAAAACUGAAUAGAAACACGUGUAUGCAGAGAGGGACAAGAUUUCCGCUUGAAGUCCACUUAAAGUACAUAUUUACUGUUCGGUGACAAGUCGCCAAUGGUGAACGAUUUGUUUACGGCAAAAGUCCUGUGG